UACGUAGGUCCCGAGCGUUGUCCGGAUUUAUUAGGCGUAAAGCGAGCGCAGGUGGUUUAUUAAGUCUGGUGUAAAAGGCAGUGGCUCAACCAUUGUAUGCAUUGGAAACUGGUAGACUUGAGUGCAGGAGAGGAGAGUGGAAUUCCAUGUGUAGCGGUGAAAUGCGUAGAUAUAUGGAGGAACACCGGUGGCGAAAGCGGCUCUCUGGCCUGUAACUGACACUGAGGCUCGAAAGCGUGGGGAGCAAACAGG
rnacentral:rRNA from 1 species